UGGCCAGCAUCAUCCUCCUUGUUCUGAUUCUAAUUUCCCCAAUUUUAAAACCGUAACACUCUCAUCCUUGCUCAGAUUCUAUUUCAUUCCUCCACCAUCCCUUUUGGCUCCCAUUUUCUGCUACAAUUAGGUCAAGUAUUUACGUUGGUGCUGCCUUGGGGCUGUUGAAGCUACGGCUGGUUCUGUAGUAGGUUGUUGCUGCCACCAAUGCUGGUUUAGGUAGAAUGAUGAGGCUGCAAUGUUGAGGGUGCAGUCCAGCCUGCUGUCUCACCAUAAUUCUGCCUUCGGUUUCUUUUAAUUGCGACAUCGAGGUAGGGGGUUUAACUUAAACGGUUUUAAUUUAAGAAUGCCCACAAAGUUUAUUGAAUAAUUGCAAAUAGGUUUAA